UCCUACGGGAGGCAGCAGUGGGGAAUAUUGCACAAUGGGCGCAAGCCUGAUGCAGCCAUGCCGCGUGUAUGAAGAAGGCCUUCGGGUUGUAAAGUACUUUCAGCGGGGAGGAAGGUGUUGUGGUUAAUAACCACAGCAAUUGACGUUACCUACAGAAGAAGCACCGGCUAACUCCGUGCCAGCAGCCGCGGUAAUACGGAGGGUGCGAGCGUUAAUCGGAAUUACUGGGCGUAAAGCGCACGCAGGCGGUUGAUUAAGUUAGAUGUGAAAUCCCCGGGCUUAACCUGGGAAUGGCAUCUAAGACUGGUCAACUAGAGUCUUGUAGAGGGGGGUAGAAUUCCAUGUGUAGCGGUGAAAUGCGUAGAGAUGUGGAGGAAUACCGGUGGCGAAGGCGGCCCCCUGGACAAAGACUGACGCUCAGGUGCGAAAGCGUGGGGAGCAAACAGGAUUAGAUACCCGGGUAGUC
rnacentral:rRNA from 1 species